ACCGUCCUUUGCGACAGACACACCAACAUGGCAGCUUUGUGCAAGGUCGUUUCAGGUCCGAGGACUGGCGCAUGUGUGUUUCCAAAACGAGCAAUUGAUAUUUGCAAGUCCUUAUACAGCACAGAUAGCGAGGAAACAUCGGAAGGAAAAGCGGUGGAAGAAACGCAAAAACCAGCAGCCGACAAGGUGAAAAGUGGCUUCGCUGCAGCAUAUGAACAACACACAGACCUUCAGCAGAGACAAAAUCAGACGGGAACUACUGUCAGACUUGGGUCUACAAGAAAUGAAAAAUCAUUUGCGUCAUUGCUACGAAAUUCUCCUCUCAUGCAGAUGGGACCAGCAAAGGACAAAAUGGUAAUCGGGAAGAUCUUUCACACAAUCAAAGACGAUUUAUACAUUGACUUUGGUGCCAAGUUCCAUUGUGUAUGUAAACGACCGACAGUGGAUGGAGAGAAGUACCAGAGGGGGAGCAGGGUCCGUCUGCGUCUUGAGGACCUCGAGCUCACAUCUCGCUUCCUGGGCGCGAACACCGACACAACACUACUAGAAGCAGAUGCCUUUCUUCUUGGACUGAUCGAGAGCAAGGACGCAAAGACCAAAGAGUAGAACAGCAUUGACUCCUCCGACCAAUAGACCUGCCCCAGCAGAGGACAGUUUUUCUUGUUGAUGUCACUAUUCCCACAUGAUUGUCAUUUGUGACUGAGAGCUUGAACAAUAAAUAUAUCCAAAUGUAAUGUUUGUUUCAUCUUGAGAAAUCUGCUUCAUCCAUGUUAAAUGGUCAUUUAAUUUACCCUGGAAGAGUCAUUAAAUGCCUCAUGCUUAGUAAGUCAUGUAUAAUCAUAACCCAAAAUAAGGUUGUAGCUUUCAAAUGUUUAAUCAAGAUCCAAUGGACUGUUAAUCCUUGCAUGUCAAUGUUUGAAUAUGAAAGUGGCUACAUUUCUCCAGUCCCAUCCUACCUCUCAGCAAACCAAGUGUUGGGGGUAGCUCUUGAUCAUGACUCUUAAAUUUCAUUACAUUAUACUAUAAUUCAUUGGACGAAGGUGUCUUCUGUAGGGGAGAGUUCUUUAUUCAUACACACCUUGUUUGCAUUAGGGAUUAUAACUAUGCAUUACCAUGUUCUUAAUCAUCUUUAGAAAAUGAAUAACUCAAAAGGUACAUGAUCAGUCAGUUUUUAUUCAGUGACAUUAUUCGUAGAAUUAAAAUGUGCAGUUCAGCAUAUGCAUCGAAGUUACUUUUUACCUUGUCACAUUGAGGAAUCCCUUUCCUACAUUUAGUGUUUUAAUUGAAAGUACCCUCGCCAAUUUUUAGACUAAAAUAGCCAUCUUGAGAAAAAGAUUAGUUAUAUUUCUGUCUUUAA